CUACCUCAAGUUUAACUCAAGAAAUUCCCAAAUCUUGGCAGGAUCUUACACAUGUUAACGUGAGCUUCCAGUUUAAAUUCCAUGGUCAUCGGAGUUAUAAAACUCCGGUUAUAGCGUUUUUCGUCGAAAAAACCUAAAUAUUAAAAUGGUCAUAACUUGCUCAUUUUAAGUCGGAAUGAGCUCAUUUUUGGACAGGAGGUACCUUAUACCAUAUACUUUCAUUUUCCAAAAGGCCAGAAUUUUCCUCACAAAUUAAGUGGCCGAAACAGCCCCAUAAAGUUUCUGGGCAGGAGCAUUUUCCUCUUUUGCAGCUUUGGACUCUUUUGCUAAAAAUAGUCCGCACGAAAAUCUACAACACCUUUUCCAGUGAUUCCACUUGGAGAUACUACAAAACUCAUAGAUCUAACUCUAGAACUUGACCACACUCAAUUCAAAAUAUAAAAGGAGAUAUGGUCAAUUGAAUUUCAUGUUCCAUUUUCACCAAAAUUUAAUUUUCAACCCUUUGUGAUUUCUAAGAAACUUUCAUGUUUUCACAUAAUAACCAACAUAACUCAUCGUAACACUUACUAAUACUUCAUAUACCCAUGAUUUUCAUCAGUCCAAUGCUUUUAUUAUGACUCUCAUCAUAAUCAACGUAACCAGAUCAUUUCCACAAUUUAAUAAGGAAUGGAGAUAAAUGAUCAUUCACCAUGCAUAUGGCAAUCCACAUAGACAGGUUAUUCCAACAGAAUAAUAAAGAAUGGAAUAACAGAAGGAUUCACCAUGCAUGUGAUAGAGACCACACAGACAGGUUAUCCCCAAUAGAAUAAUAAAUAAUGGAACCAGGUCCGACGUAAACGCACAGACAGGAUAUUCUGACAGAAUAAUAAAUGCGGAGUAAUAAAUAAUGGAACCAGGUCCGGCGUAAAACGUACAUACAGGAUAUUUCGACAGAAUAGUAAAGAAUGAAAUAAUAGAAGAAUUUCACCAUGUAUGUGGUACUUCGCAUAGACAGGUUAUUCCAACAUAAUAAUAAGGAAUGGAAUAACAGAAGAAGAUCACCAUGUAUAGGGUAGUCCGUGUAUACAUGUUAUUCCAACAGAAUAAUAAAGAAUGGAAUAAUAGAAGAAUUUCACCUAAAACUCGAUGAAUAUUUUAUUUAGUACCACUAAAACUCGAUGAAUCUCUUCAACUCAUCAUAUCCUAUAACUUCUCGCCAGAGUACUUCGUCUCCUGGUUCACUGAAUAUCUAUCUUAACUUUCGUCCUCCAUUCUACUAAGGUUAUAAUUCUUCACCAGAGUUCUUCAUCCAUUGAAUAUCUAUCUUAACUUUCGUUAUCCAUUCUACUAAGGUUAUAAUUCUUCACCAUAGUUCUUCGUCUAUCGAAUAUCUAUCUUAACUUUCGUUAUCCAUUCUACUAAGGUUAUAACCUAGGUUUCGCAUUCCUAACGUUUAUAACCUACAGCUUUGAUACCAACCUGUGGCNNNN
rnacentral:lncRNA from 1 species